rnacentral:tRNA from 1 species
AGCUCGUUGGCGCAGUGGUAACGCACACGCCUUCCAUGCGUUGGGUCUGGCGUUCAAAUCCCGGACGGGCCG